rnacentral:lncRNA from 1 species
UCGCUAAGUACUAAAAAUAACUUAAAGAUUAAUUAAUUUAUUCAAAUUAUUAUUUAAUUAAUUGAAAUUAAAUAACUGAAAUUUGAAGUAGAAAUUAAAUUAAUUAAUCAUCGCAAUUUUAUUGAAUAUGACAUGUAAUGGGCCAAAAUUGCCCAGCCUAAAUACAAACCCAAAACCCAAAAUGAAACUAACCCAAUUACAUGAGACAGGCCCAAUACCCAUGGCCCAAAAUCUAAAUCUAAUCGGCUAACCUAGGGAAACUUAGGUCACCCACGCCACAAUCCCCACGUCGGCACUCCACGCACGAUCCCCGUGUGCCCCGCUCCAUGCUCGCGCCCGUGCUCCACGCCCCUCGUUCUCCACAACUUCAUGGCCUGCGAGUUGGACAAGGAAACAGCAGAAACUGCUUGUAUAUUGGCUAUAAAGCCUUCGAUUUUUAAUUGUAAAGGGACGGGUUUUUUUUUUCAGAGAAAUAGAACACAGAUUGAAGAAAUCAUUCUCGCAAAUAUACAAAAAUCAAUAAAAGCAGUAGAAUACAUUUCAAAGGUUUAUCACUGUUUUUUUUUCCCAUUUUUAUUUUUUCAUUCAAAUUCGCAUUAUAAAUACGAAAUAUAAGAGUAAGUGGGAGAAGCUCACCGGAGUUGCAUCGCGCUCGCACCACUGGAGGGCCCUGCUUCGUUGGUCGCAAGCGAUUUUCGAAGAAGUUGAAGGCUUGGCAUAAGCCUUUCGACGAGGAGCAGAGGGGAGAGCAAAAGGGGGUUCUCAAAAUUUAGGGUUAUUUUUUAAACAAAGGGUAAAAUGGUUUAAAAAAUGGGUUAAGUAAUUGGAAUAAAACAGCACCGUUUGGUGUUGGACCCACACAAUUUGGCUUAAAGUGGGGGAUUUUCUCAUUGAGUCCUCCCCUUUUGCGCUGAGUUGUAAUUAAAACUUGUUUAGAUUUUCCUUGUUUUUUUAUAUUGUCCCUGGAACUUGCACGCCAUUUCAAUUUAGCCCGCGCCUGGGCACAACAUUUUGGGAUUUGGACCAUUUGCGCUUUCGGUCCCCGCGCACUUGCGCGCAUUGCGCUUUGGCCCUUAUCUCACUUUCCAUCUUUUUUAUUUAUUAAUUGUCUCUUUAGGUUUGCUCUUAUUCCAAUUAAGUUUUAGUUCAUAUCUUAUUUUAUUUUAUUUUAUAUAUAUUAUUUUAAUAUAUACUAUUUUGAAUUAUUUUAUUGAUUUUGCACUGUUCCAGUUUGCCAUUUUAUACUUUUUGUUUUUGUUUUUCUCUCCUAAUUGUUUUAUUUCACAAUUUAUUUAUUUUAAAGUCUUCUUUUAUAUUCUUCUGUGUUCUAACGAUAUUUUAAUGCUAUUGUACAUACAUUUACAUUUUUUUUUAAAUUCUAAAUAUAUAUCAUUGUUCAUACUGUUUUAUGUAAAUAUUGUUAUUUUAAAUGUAUUUAUAUGUAUAUAUAUCUUCUUUCGAAUUUAUUUAUGUAUAUAUUAUUGACAUUAAGUUUUUUUUCAUGUAUAUUAUGUAUUUAGAUAGAUAUAUAUUAUUUUGUAUAUCAUUUUCUUUUUUACAUACAUUAUUCAUUUAGAAAUUUCAUUUAUACAUUUCUUUUAUAUAUAUUAUUAUCUUUAUUUUCUUGGUCUAUUUUAAACUUUCAUGUAGAUUACUUGUUCCAAGUUUUAUGUAUAUUGUUUGCAUAUUGAUAAUCCUAAAUUGCAUUUCCUUUGUAUCAGUCAUUUCUUUAUUUGCUUUAGAAAACUUGUUAUAUAUUAUUUGUGUUAAUUUACUUGAUAUGUCUUUAAGUUCGCUUUUAAUUCAUUAGAUGUUAAUAUUGGUAUAUGUAUAAUAUAUGAUAUGUUGCCGUUGUAUGCGCCCAAAUUCGUUCCUUUCAAAAUUCCAUAUUAUGACUAUUCAUUUGUAUAAUAUUUUAUCCAUGUAUAUAGACUUUGUUUUUCAUAUAUUAUCGCAUUGUGGCUCAAAUUUCAGCAUUUUAAUCGAUAUUGGUCGUCUCAUUUUUAUUCCAAAUAAACCAAAUAAAAAGCAUUUUGAGUCAGUCUUAUAAUAUAUCAAUUUUAAAAAAACUUCUAAAACAAAGGCAAUGUUUGGCUUUUGGAAAUUUGGGAAAUCGUGCCCUAACGUACUGGUUUUCGUUUUUCUGCUUGCCCAAAAUAGUCAAAUAUUCCUUUAAAAUUUCAUUCAUGUUUUCUAAAUUUUAAAAUAAGGUAAUGUUCUAUGUUUGGAAAUUUGAGAAAUCGUGCCCUAACAUGCUAGGUUUCGUUUUUUCGUUGGGCCAAAUAAUUGAAUACCCUUUUCGUUGCGUUUUGGAAGUCAUGAGGUGAUCUCAGUUUUUAGAGGCUUAAAAUAUCGUGUCCUAACGUGCUAGAUGUGAUAUUUUAUUUUUUUGGAACGAGUGAAUCUUAAAAUCCAAUUCGAGUUGAUCACACAUUUUAGAGGAAUCGUAUUUUGGCAAUUUUUCUUUAAGUUUUCAACGAUAAGACAUUAAAUAAUCAAUUGGUACCAAUUUCGGGCAUUACGAGGGUGCUAACCCUUCCUUGUGCGUAACCGACUCCCGAAUCAUUUCUCUCAAUUUUCGUAGACCUAAAAUUAUUGUUUUAAUAAAUUAAAUAUUUUAUUAAAAUGAUCAAUCUCAAGGUGAUCCGAUUACACCUCAAAAAGAUCGGUGGCGACUCCAUAAUUCGUUUUUAAAGUUGAUUUCCAUUUUUUUCAAACUUUUAAAAAUGGUUUCGACAGCUUGGCGACUUCACUAGGGACCAAUAAGAGACUCAAGCCAUAAAAUUGAUUAUUUUUUGUCCUUUUGUCGAAAAUUAAAAGUUUAGUUUUUAAAUACACGAUCCUCAUUGCAUUUCAUUGGUGUUAUGGUUUCCAUCAUUUUAUUCAUGUUUUUGAGUUUUUAUGUCCCCUCACAUUGCAUAUUGCAUGACCGUUGUGGUCACACCUCUUAAGUGGGAGUAAAAAGCUAUGUCCUCGUGAGGUUUUCACCUCCGCAUGGUCAUAGGGAAAUGUAUUCCCCUAAACUAAACUCGAUCCACAUGAGCCUAUAAUGGGUGAAGAUUAAGGAAUCUGCUGGUUCAGGUACCCUGUCUUUAGAACUAAAUCGCAUAUAGCGAGUCUUAAGAGCCUACCCUAGGUAGAGCCACUCCAAAACCUAGUCAUUACCCAAAUAGGUGUUCUAUUUGCUAUUUAUUUCUUCUGUACUAACGUAUUUUGUUUGUUUUGUUUAUGACUGUAUUGUAUUACAUCAUUAUAGAAAGGAGAUGUUGAUUCAUAUUUGAUUGCUAAAUAGAACAGUUUGUCAUAAGAAAAUGAAUUUCUUGAUAAAGUGGAUUAUAAUACGGUUGUCUGAAUAUGGUCCACGUAAACACAACGGAAGAAGGUUGAUAGUUCGCGGAGGAAAACAAGACUUUACUUGAGGAUUCAAGUCGAUAGAGAUUAUUCGAAAGACGUCACAUCUCAACUUUCUUAAAGGAUCUAACAAACAUUGCGAGGAUAAGUGACUAUUAAGUCGCGGCCUGAAUCAAGUAAAAGGAGCUAGUCGGAGCAUCUAUUGGAAGCUUACGAGAUUUAACUUUUACAAAGAAAAGAAAUCGGUGUCUUCGCUUGGAACAUGAGGGCAAUGCCGCAUAUGUAAAUCCGUUUUAUGUAAAAGGAUUUGUUUUCUAGAAAAGUUGUUCUAAUAGAAUUGAAUUCAGAAUCAACACCAUUCUUUCUUUUGCAUUCAUUCUAUGCAUUUGCGUAGCAUUGCAUCAUUUGCAUUAGAUUUUCACAAAAAGACCCUAAUUAAUUGAAAUCAUUUCAGUUAAUCUGGAAACUAAUAAAAACUUACCAACCAAGCAUCGUUACGGUACAUGUGCUAAGACAAAAGAUAUGGACCAAAGAUUGGAAAGACUUAAACAACUUCAAAGAGAGAUACAUGACCAGUUACAAAUGCAAAUGCAAGAACAACUGAUGAGGAUACGGCAAGAUAUGAGAGACCAAGUGCAAGAGUCUCAAAGGAAUAUGAUGAACCAGUUGUCCCAAUUGCUGACUAAGGGGCUAGAAAAAAGGGAAAUUUCCAUGAUCAAUGUUGGGGUGGACAAUGAGGAGCCUCUCUAUCCUCUGGGUUUCACUUCGUCAAAUGCACAAGCAUGUUCGUAAGGUGUACCAAUUAUCAAAACUCAGCAAUAUCAAGCCAAUACCUUAGCAGCAGUGAAUUAUUUGAUAGGCUCAGGCUCCAAUCCGUGAGGCAAUCCAACUACUCCUAUAGUUCCUGAUUUGAACGAAAUGGAAAAAGUAAAGAUGAAACUGCCAAAACAACUCGAGGAUCGGUAUAGGCGGUUAGAGGAAAAAUUCAAGGCGAUGAAAUAUACUGAUGAUUAUCGUGGAAUUGACGCCAGGGAUUUGAGCUUGGUUCUAGACUUAAUACUUCCUUACAAGUUUAAAAUGUCUAAAUUUGAAAAAUAUAAUGGGACUAUCUGUCCCGAAGCUCACAUCACCAUGUUUUGCAGACGAAUGAUUGGGUAUGUCAAUAAUGACCAAUUAUUGAUUCACUAUUUCCAAUAAAGUCUGGUUGGGGCAGCAUCCAAAUGGUACAACCAAUUGAGCCAUACCCAGAUCAAUUCAUGGAAAGAUCUAGCACAAGCUUUCAUGAAACAGUAUAGUCAUGUGACGGACAUGGCACCAGAUAGAAUUACCCUACAGAAUGUGGAAAAGAAGCAGAGUAAGAGCUUCAGGCAAUAUGCCCAAAGAUGGAGAGAGGUAGCAACACAAGUCCAAUUGCCUCUAUUGGAAAAUGAGACCACAAUGCUUUUCAUCAAUACUCUAAAAGCCCCGUUCAUUGACCCUAUGUUGGGAAGCACUACUCUGAGCUUUUUAGAUAUAGUAAUGUCCGGUAAGAUGACUGAAAAUGCGGUAAGAAGUGAGAGGAUGAUGUGGCAGAAAGCAUUAAAAAGUCAACUCCUAGAGACAAAGAGAAUGAAGUGAAUAUCGUGAGCAUGCCUUCCAAAUUGGUCAGCAUAGACCAGUCGAGGGCUGUAACCACUAGCUAUCGAGGCUCUUCAAGGAAGGAAUUUAACUCGAGGCCAAAUACAGAAAAGCUCCGGUUUACACCUAUCCCGAUGUCAUAAAAGGAGCUGUAUCAGAACCUUUUUGAUGUGCAUGUGGUGUCUCCGUUCUACUCGGAACCCAUGCAACCUCUAUUCCCAAAAUGGUAUAAUGAGAAUGCUCAAUAUGAGUACCAUGCGGGAAUAGCGGGGCACUCAAUCGAAAACUGCACUACGUUUAAAAAGUUGGUUGAAAGGUUCAUUGAAAUGGGAAUUGUGAAGUUUGACAAUUCCUCAGAACCUAAUCGCUCUGAUAAUGAAGUAAAUGUGACAUUUGAAGGUGGGGGCAAAAGGGUUGUGAUGCCUUGAACAAGUCAAAAGUGGAAGGAAUAUCGGGGAUUCUGAAUGACAUAUCUGAAGAGAAAAUCAGGGAAUAAAAGUUUCUAAACCUUUAUGUACUUUGGGGGUUUUGAAUAAUGGGACUGUGGAAGAGAUCCCUGUCUUUUUAGAGCUAAUCUAGAGUAAUAUUCAAAACGCACUUGUUGCUUUAAGCCUAGGGGCAAUAAGAAUCCUUUUGUGACAUAGGCUUGUGUCCAGAAUUUUUAUUUCAAUAAAAUGCAUCUUUUUAAGCAAAUACUCUUUCAUUCUUUCCAUUUCAUAGUAUACAUUCUUUUGUUCUUUGGACUGUCUUUUAAAUAUUAUUUUAUUCUUUAUGAUUAUAUCAUACAAAUAAUCAGCCUUAGAAUUAUUUAUUCUUUGGAAAUAUGUCUUUGUACUUACAAUAGGUUCCUAGAUAUCAAUGACAUGAGCAACGCUGUAACUGACUCUCUUUUAGGGUGAGAUAUGUGUUUAAGCGGAUUUCAAGACUUUGAAGAUGAUAGAGAUUGUAGCCUAUGGCCUAAUUUUUUCAAGGAUGACAGAACAAGAUAAAACACAGAUCCUACUCUACAAAGGGUCAGUGGACAUUGUGAGCAGGAGGCAAAGAUCGGAGCCUGAGUCACCGCAAAGACAAAGCGAAUUGUCAUUUAAUUAUUCCAAGUAUUAAAAGAUGUUUUUGCAUGACCAUAUCAAGAUAUACCUGGAGAUGCAAAAAAAUGUCUAUACGGAUGUUAGAAGGACAUAUGUUAAUGGUUUCACAGUAGCCACACUAAUCAUGAGGUUUGGGUACUAUUGAGACAAGAUUCAUGUACCUUAUUCAUUUCUUCACAGACUUCUUCUAUGUGGGGCACGGAUGUUAUCAGGACCAUUCUAGUCUAAUAUACAUUGAUUUAUCUUGGUAGUCGUCGAUGACUUUAUGAAAAGGGUGAGGGUCGUUUCAUAUGCCAAUAUUACGAUGUCGGUAGUCGUCAAAUUUUAAAAAAGGUGCCGACAAGUAAUGUGAGAAAAGAUCGUGUCUAAUACAGCUGCACAAUGUCAAAAGUUUGCAGUUUGUUCAAAGAUCAGAUGCCAUAUCCUAAUACAGCAAAGGCAGCCAAAAAGAAAGAAACAAAAAGUGAAAGAAAAAAUAAAAACAAAAACAACAAAAAGAGAUUGUGGAAUGUGAUCGAGACUUGUAAAGAUUGUCAUGAAGAAGUUACCAUUUACCCUCUAUAUUUUUCAAACGUCGGCUAAGACCUUAAUCAGGGCAAUGCCUUUCUUAUUAGUUUGUGGAAUGGAAGCGUUUUAUCCAUUAUUUCUUUUCUCUGAAUCAGAACUAAAGUUGGAUGAGGUUGAAUGGAUCCAAUCCCGAUAUAAUUAGUCAAGUUUGAAGGAUAUUCGUCACAGUUAGAUGAUGUAUGCUUACGACAAAAGGGGGUUCAUCCUAGAGAAUUGGGGACUUGGCAUUGAAGAAGAUCCUUUCUAUACAAAAUAACUUUAGAGGAAAGUGGAUGCCAAAUUAGGAAGGACCUUAUGUAGUAAAGAAGGCCUGUUCUAGAGGAGCAUUGAUAUUGUCUGAGAUGGAUGGCAAGGACCUGCCUAAUUUGGUGAACUCGGAUUUAGUUACAGUUAACAGUUUAAAAAAAACACCAAAGAAAAGAAAAAGAAACAGGAGAGGCCAAGGCGAAAACCCACAAAGGGCUCCUUGAGACCAAAGGGGAUUUGAGUUGAAAACCGUAAAAGGGCAGCUCAAAUUUGGAUCAAAGUGGGGCAUACAAUAGUCUUGCUAUGUCUGAAUUAACAAUGAAGAAGUAUGCUACGUCUUAGGGCAUCGACGAAAUACUCCGAAUUCCCUAAACACAAAUUGAGCUCAAAAUGGUCCUCAAGAAGUCAGUACAAAGAAGCUCAGGCUGCAAUAUCUAGGACAUCUAGUUUUCCAUUUUGCCAAUUUUAAAUUUGCUAUCUUUGAUACAUCUUAAUAAAUUUCCUUCUAUUUACGUUUGUUAUCUUUUGAGCUAUGCUCCCAGUUAUUUUCUCUCUUAUCUAUUGUUAUGAUCUUUUUCAAGCAUUUUGCAUCGAAAUAAUGAUUAAUGGACUAAUAAUACCUUCACAAAAGAUGUUCUGCGUAUUACUCUGGAAGUUUCUAAAUGGUGCAGGAACAUGAAACUGAACUUUUUUUUAGAACUUGCCCAACUUAAAGGUUGGAAAUAUUUGAGUCCAAAUUGAGAUUAUCUCUUCGGAUUUUCAGUCAAAGAUAUUGGUUGAAUAGGAAGAAUAUGGCAUCAAUAACAGAAAUAAGCGAUGUCAACCUAGACAUAAGGAUAUUCCUCAUUCAUGCAAAUAUCAAGUGUACACAUCUGGUCAUGACACCCAAGGGGUGGUGUAAUGGACCGAAUUGAUGAAAGAUUCAGGUCCUAUACUCCUGAGUUGUAGAAUAGGGUUUGAAGAUGAUACAAACCUUAGGUCCCAAAAGUAUAGUGAAAUGGACCCUAAAGUUGCAAUAGGGCAAACCAACUGAGCAGAAUGGGGUUUUCUACAGGUCUUCUAUUGGAAAAUACUGGCUGAGCAAGAAAGCAGCAUAAUACGACAGUGAUAAAACUCUGAUGAAUAACGAGUGAUGAUAUUUUAAGCUUUUAAAAAAGGAAUCAUUCUCAUGACAUUUUUACAUUCAUAUCAUUCAUAGCGUAUUUGAUUAAGGGCAUCUGAUUCAUUUUGAUCAUAGCAUCUUAAUCAUUUGGCAUAAACAUAGGCAUAAGAAACCAAGUCUACAGGGCAUGUUCCCUAAAGGAUAGUGUACUGACAUCGGUGAAUUCACAAGUCUUAUUUUCUUGAGGUAGCAAAGAAGCAGACUGAAAAUUACAAAUCUUAUCUCCAUGUAUCGGCUAUGGAGUAGAUCAAAAAUGGCGGGUCUUAUCUCCAUAUAUCGGCUAUGGAGCAGAUUUUAGUUACCAGCCUUAUCUCUGUGAGGUAGCAAGAGAGCAGGUUAAAAAUCCAGGUCUUAUCUUCCUGAGGUAGUAAGGAAGCAGGCUAAAAAUUAUAGAUCUUAUUUCCAUGUAUCGGCUAUAGAGCAGAUUUUAGCCACCGGCCUUAUCUCUCUGAGGUAGCAAGAGAGCAGGUUGAAGAUACGAGCCUUAACCCCCUAAGCAGUAGGGUAACGGGCUGAAAUUUACAGAUCUUAUCUCUAUGUAUCGGCUAUGGAGUAGAUUUUAGCCACCGACCUUAUCUCUCUGAGGUAGCAAGAGAGUAGGUUGAAGAUAUGAGCCUUAACCCCCUAAGCAGUAAGGUAACAGGUUAUAAAAUACAGAUCUCCCUUAAACAGUGCAGAGCAGAUCAAAGACAGUGAGCCUUAACCCCCUAAGCAGUAGGGUAACAGGCUGAAAAUGUAACAGCCCGAUUUUGGGCCUAGUCGGAAUAGUGGUUUCGGGACCACUAUUCCGAGGCCAGAGAAAAUUAUUUUAGUAUUAUUUUAUGUGUUAUAAUAUGAUUUUAUAAGUGCAUGUUAAUUUUGGUAUAUUAAUUUUAGCGAUUUCUAGUCCAAUUUCGAAAAAGGACUAAAUCGCGUAAAAAGUAAAAGUUGUGUUUUAAUACCUAAAGGUGUUAAAUUGCCUUGUAUCUUAAAUUGGGGGUUUUUUAAGUGAAAUUAGGCCAUUGAAAGUGUGAUGGCCGGCCAUGGGAGACAAAAUAGUUGAAAAGUCAAAAUUAGACAAAAUAGUUUUAUUAUUAACAAAUAAAAAAAAAGAAGAAAAAGCUAUCAUUUUUCUCUUCCCCUUCACCGAAAUAUGCAGCAAAGAAAGGGUUUUGAAGCUGGAAAAUUUCAGCAACAUAUUUCCCUUGCUUGUAAGUGAUUUUAAUGUCUUUGCUUGAUGAUUUUUGUAUUUUUGGAACCCCUAAAGCAUAAGCUUUCAUAUGAGGGGACUUUUGUGCAAGAUGAUAAAGAGUCUAGGGUUUUUCCAUGAAUGUAUAUGUGUUGUUUGCUGUAUUUUUAUGGAAGAUUAUAAGUCCUAGUUGUUUAAUAAACAACUUUUGUGAAAGAAAUUGCAUGAAAAUACCUUAAAAAGGGCUAAAUUGCUAAGUUGUAAAAUGAGUUGUACAUGUGUAAAAUAGUUGAAAUUAUGAGUUGCUAUAGUUAUGAAAAUGGUUCAACUAGACUCAAGGAGUAAAGAAAUGUGAUAAAAAUUAAUUUACGAGCAUUGGGGCAAAAAUGCAAAUAUGCAAAAGUUUAGGGGUUAAAAUGAAAAUUUGUAAAAAUAUGAUUUUUAGACUCAUAUGAAUAUUGUGACUGAUUGGUAGGCUAAAUGUGAUGUUAUAGAUGAUGAAAAAUGAGAUUUGGACCUAGAACGGAAAGAAAUCGAUUUAUGGACGAGUAUGUCUUUUCACCUUUGUGGUAUCGAGGUAAGUUCAUGUGUAAAUAAUGUAGCAUAAUUGUUAUUUUUAAGUUAUUGAUGUUAAAUAUAUGAUAUGCUGAUUUUUAUCAUGAAAUAUAUGCUUUGUGGUUAUUUUCGAAUAAAAUGCAAGUUAUGUGUAUUAUCUGUUAAAUAUAAAGUGCUACCGAGUAUUGGUUUCGGUAUUUUACGGAAGAUGGCAAGGAUAGGUGUUCGAGGAAAAUCCCGUUUGAACCUUAGGAAUAGAUUAGGAUACAAGUGACAUGUCACUAGGAUGGUUGAGCAUCCGAACUCGUUGAGUUGAGUCCGAGUUCACUUAUGGAUGCGAAUGUUCGAACUCAUUGAGUUGAGUCCGAGUUCGUGAGAUGUAACUAGGCAUCCGAGCUCGUUGAGUUGAGCCCGAGUUCACUUAUGGAUGCGAACGCCCGAGCUCGUUGAGUUGAGUCCGAGUUCACUUAUGGGCGGGUUACAUGGUAGCUUGGCUACAUAUGUGGCACUUAUGUGCAAACUUUCCAUGUAUCUGAAUUAUAUUCUGAUGUGUUCAACGGGUAAAAUUCUACUCAAAUAGAGGAAUACUCGAGAUGAAAGGGACGUAUUGGUAAAUGUUGUGAAAUUGAUACUUUGAACAGGUAUGUACUUAACCCUCGGGUUGAAAACUCAACAUAACAACAGUAUGGUAAGAUGGUAAAUGAAAAUGUGGUAUGAAUGUCUCGGUGAUGAUUAUACAAACGAUGUUGUAUUAAUUUUGUGAACAAUGAUCAUGAAUGAGUAAUUUAGCCUUGACAGAUUUGAGUUACUGCAGUAGUGUAACUUUGAAAAUACACUAAAAAUAGUGGAAAAUGAGUUAGAGGCAGAAUAAAAUAUUGGAUUAAAGCUCAAUGAGUCUAUUUUCACAUGAAAGAAACAGGGAAAGAAAAAGAAUUCCAUAUUGUGUGAUAUUUGAAUUCUUGUGAAACAGGGUCUGAAUGAAUUCGAGAUCCCCUGUUCUAACUUUAGAAAUUCACCAAAAAUUGUACAAAAAUUAUUAAUAGUUAUACAUUACAUGCAUGGAUUCCUUAUUGAGUCUAUUUUUAUGGGAAAUAAACGGCACGGUUGUUGGAAUUUUUUACAGGGAGAAAUUUGGUUUGUAGUGCACAGGGGUCCGAGUGGUCAUACCCUGAAAUAGGGGAGACUUUAACUAAUAAAAUGUACUAUUUGGCUUAACCAAAAAUUCUUGAAAUUUUAUGGAAGAAAGGAAAAUAAGUCUAGUUUUAUGGAAAAUUAAUGGAACUUAAUUCGGAGUUUCGUAGCUCCAGAUAUAAAUCAUUUAGUGACUGUUGCUCAGGAAGACAGCUUGUAGUGAACUUGAGAAUAUGUUGUAAACAUUGAUAAAACAAGUUAAUGAGUUGCUUAUUGUUUUCAUAUGAACUUACUAAGCGAAAGCUUACCCCCUUUCUUUCCCAUGUUUUUUAGAGUUUCCAGGUUAGCUCGGGUUGGAGGCCGUCAGAGAUAUUAUCACCCUAUCGAGUUAACGUUAUCGGAGUAAGUAAACUCAAGUGAUUCGAGUCUAUGGCAUGUAUAGGGUUUUAAUGUGAGUAUGAAAUAUUAUGAUUUAGCCAAAGGCAUUGGCUUGUUAUUAAGGUAGUAUUAGUUAUGUAAAUUGGCCUAUGUCGGCUAAUAUCGUUAUGGGCCCAUAUGAUUAUUCUUAUGCAUUUAUGUUAUUAUUUCUUGUGAUGUGGCUUACAACAUGUAUGCCUAGAGAUUGAAUUGAGAUUCAUUGAUGAGCUAGUAACUAAUGCAGGAUUAAGUGAUUGAUAAAUAGUUAAUAAUGCUUCAUGAAUGGUUUGUGAUGUAAUCAUAGUUAUGUCUAGUAUGUGGUAAUGAUAUGGGCAAAUUCUAUAAUAUUUAUUGCAUAAGAAAAUAACUUGAGCAUAACAUGUUUGUAGAUGUUUAAGAGCUCAUUUAUGUCACGUUGUAUGUUAUUGGAUAAGUAUGUGUCUAUGCAUAUGGUGUGAGAGUGAUAAAAGGCUUAAUAAUUAGCCUAUUUCUGGCCACACGGCUUGAGCACAUGGGCGUGUGAAGCCUUAACGCAAGAGAUUUUUUUAAGUUUUUCAUGAGUUCUCGAUUGGGUCCCGAACCACUCCAGAUGUAUGUUUUGGGCCUCGUAAGCCCGUAUAUGGGACAGAUUUUAUGUGAAAAGAAAAGUUUUUAACUAUUUGAGAUUUCAUGGCCCUGUUUAGUAUGAAAGUGUUAGUAAAAGUCAGGUAGCACCUUGAACCCCGUCCCGGCGUCGGAUGUGGGCGAGGGGUGUUACAGAAAAAUACAGAUCUCCCCUAAACAGUAGUGGAGCAGAUCGAAGACAGCAAGCCUUAACCCCCUAAGAAGUAGGGUAAUAGGCUAAAAAUUACGAAUCUUAUCUCCCUAAGUAGUAGUGGAGCAGAUCGAAGACGAGUUCCUAUACCCCUAAAGAUGCAGUGGGUUAAAGCAAAGCUACUUGAAGAAGAGUGGCCAAAAGAAAUCAAGACUCGACAGGUCCAGGAAAAAUUGGCCCUUUUAAAGUCUUUACUUCGUUCUCGUUACACUAUAACGAGCAAAGAGGGGCAGCUGUAAUGGGUCAAAAUUGCCCGGCCCAAAUACAAACCCAAAACCCAAAAUCAAACUAAUCCAAUUACAUGAGACAGGCCCAAUACCCAUAGCCCAAAAUCUAAAUCUAAUCGGCUAACCUAGGGAAACUUAGGUCACCCACACCACAACCCCCAUGUCAGCACUCCAUGCACGAUCCCCGUGUGCCCCGCUCCAUGUUCGCGCCCGUGCUCCACGCCCCUUGUUCUCCACAACUUCAUGGCCUGCGAGCUGGACAAGGAAAAAAUAGAAAUCGCUUGUAUAUUGGCUAUAAAGCCUUCGAUUUUUAAUUGUAAAGGGAUGGGGUUUUUUUUGUAAUACCCCUACCCGUAUUCAUUGCCGGAAUAGGGUACGAGGCAUUACUGGAGUUUACGAAUUAAAUUUUUUUUAUAUUCAAUAUAGCCCCUUUAUAAAUAUCUAACAUUCCCUGCAAUAUUAAAUCGAGACCAAUCCAUAUCAACCAAAUCAAUUCAACAUAUUUUCAAGAUAAAUUCAUGCAUAUUUAUAAGAUAACGUCAUCACAUAUCUAAAACCAGGUUUGUUAACCAUACUAAUGGCUAACUUUACAUUCAUUUCACGUCAACAUUUACUUUGUUAGCUUAUACAUGCCAUUGAUUUCCAAAAUAAAGUUUCUUUAUAUACCGAAAUCCUGAGGUUGACAGUGUGAUGUGUCUCUGACCAAAUCCGACCUCCGAGCUCUUAACACUACAAAAUAGGGAAAAAGGAAACGGGGUAAGCACUUCGUGCUUAGUAAGCUCAUGUAACAAGAAUUAUACUUACCUAAUAUUUUCAAUACAAUACAAUAAACAUCCAUAUAUCCAUUCAAUGCAUUAUUACCCUAAUAUGCACAAACUCAACAUUCAAGUUAGUACAAUAAUUUUCAUGUACCAAUAAUAUAUACCAUGAUUGAUGAGCUCGUCAAUACCAUGAUUUCCAUUUCCUUGUUAUUUUUCCAUAUUUAUCCCGUUGAAUUUUUUGGAAUUUCGAUGGAUUUUCUGAGGUACACAUUUAUUGUACAAUUCCGGGUCCGUCAAUUCAUAUUCAUGUGCGCACAUAUCCAUUUCAGAGAGCACACUCCCGUGAACCUCAACCUUGCAGCGGGAUUACCAGUCCAGGCUAAAUCCCCUACAAUAUAAACUCAUAGAGUAUUGUCGGGAUUACCAGUCCAGGCUAAAUCCCCUGCAACGACAAUUACUCCAAUGAGCUUGGAUCUGAAAUACCAGUCCAGUCUAAAUUUAGACCCUAAUUCGGAUUACCCGUCCGGGCUAAAUCCAUUUUACACAUAUUCUUCGGGAGGGUUAUAUCAGGAUAGGAUCACCUGUCCGGGCUAGAUCCUUUUUACCAUCAAUUCCUUUUCAGAGAUCCAUCGAAUUUUCCUUUAAUUCAACCGGGAUUUCUUCCCAUUUUAUCAAAUAUAUCAAUGUUUCAUCAAUUUUUAUAUAAUGAACAUUCAAAUCAUAUUCAUAUCAAAAACAUGCUUUUCAAGCAUUUAAGAAUAUAAUUCAAGUUACAUGAACUUACCUUGAUACUUGUUUGUAAACAAUAAAAAUCUACUAAUCCCGAACUUUUUCCUUUCCUCGAUCUAGCUUCGUAUUUGAAUAUUCUGGAUCUAAAUAAAUAAAUUUAAUUAUCAAUUUAAUACAUUUCAUGUUCAUAUGCAACAUUCUCUAUAAUUCAACUAUUAUUUAUAGUUCAUUCAAAGCUGUCUACUUGAGUCAUAGUCACUAAAUUAUUUAUAACUUUAGCUACAGAACUCCAAAUUAAUAUCCAUUAAUUUUCUCUGAAUCUAGACUCAUAUAUAUUUUUACCAUAAAAUUUUCAGAAUUUUUGGUUUAGCCAAUCAGUACAGUUUAUUCUUUAAAGUCACCCCUGUUCUGUUGUCUAACAGUUCUGACCCUUCUUCACUAAAAAUAAAUUAUCUCUUCAUACAGAAUUCAAAUGAUGUUAUCGUUUGUUUAUAUUAAAAAUAGACUCAUUAAUAAUUCUAUACAUAUAAAUUUAAGUCCCUAAUUAUUUUUAUUCAAUUUUUUAUAAUUUUUCAAAGUCAGAAUAGGGGAACUCGAAUUCAUUCUGACCUUGUCUCACAAAAUUCAUUAUAUCUUAAAAUUUACAAAUCCAUUGCUUACAAUAUUUAUUCUAUGAGAAACUAGACUCAAUAAGCUUUAAUUCCAUAUUUUUUUAAUCUUCUAAUUCAAUUCCUACAAUUUUUGGUGAUUUUUCAAAGUUAGUCUACUGCUGCUGUCCAAACUGUUUUAGUGUAAGCUGUUUAUUACCAUUUUUCCCCUAAGCUUUUAAUAAAUGAUAAUUUCGUCCCUACUCAAUUAGCCUCUCAAUUGAGCUGAUUUUUCUCAAUUAACAUUUUAUUAUAUCACCUUAAACUAGUUUACAACCUUUAGGAAUCAGAAUUUCAGCAAUAGACUUUAAUUCUAAACAUUUUCACAAUUAGGUCCUAAAAAUCAAUUUCCAUUGAAAUUGCCCAAUAAAAUCAUCUCAUAAACAAAUUAAAGCUUUAAUUUCAUUCUAUUUCAUCAUAAACUUACAGAACUCAAUCAUGGUGACUUCCAAUUUCAUCCAUGAAAUCAAAAACUAAUAAAUUUAAUAGUAGGACCUAGUUGUAAAAGUCUUAGAAACACAAAAAUUACAAGAAAAAGGCAAGGAUUUACUCACUUGGUGAAAAAAUUAUGAAAUACCAGCUUAUAGAACCCUCCUAUGGCGUUUUUAGCUGCUGGAAUUGAAGAGAAAUGAAGAGAAAUCUAGAUAUUUCCUAUUUAGUCCUAACUUAUUUGCAAUAUUCCAAUUUUACCCUUAAUUUAUCAAUUUUUCUGCUGAUUUCAUACCCUUGCCGUCCAGCCCAAAUAACUUUUAGGUCUAAUUGCCUUUUAAAUCAUUUCUCAUUAGACUUUUAAGUUAUUUAAUCAUUCUAGUAACUUUUACACCUAUUACAAUUUAGUCCUUUUCAUUUAAUUGACUACCCAAACAUUAAAAUUUCCUAACGAAAUUUUAAUACCACAUUAAUAACAUUUCAUAAAUAUUUAUGAAAUUAUUUUUGACUCGGUUUUACGAGAUAGAGGUCUCGAUACCUUGUUUUUACCCAAUUUCUUCAAUAAUUUCUUUUUCUAUCUAAUCACUAAAUCGAUAAAAUUUUCCUAUCAAUAUUUUCAUACGAUUUUCCUAUCAUAUCAAUUUUCAAGCAAAAAUAUUGAAAUAAAUUUCUCUUUAAAUCGGAUCUAUGGUUACGAAACCAUUGUUCCGAUAACCUUGAAUUUAGGCUAUUACAUUUUUUUUCAAAGAAAUAGAACACAGAUUGAAGAAAUCAUUCUCGCAAAUAUACAAAAAUCAAUAAAAGCAGUAGAAUACAUUUCAAAGGUUUAUCACUGUUUUUUUCCCCAUUUUUAUUUUUUCAUUCAAAUUCGCAUUAUAAAUACGAAAUAUAAGAGUAAGUGGGAGAAGCUCAUCGGAGUUGCGUCGCGCUCGCAACACUGGAGGGCCCUGCUUCAUUGGUCGCAAGCGAUUUUCGGAGAAGUUGAAGGCUUGGCAUAAGCCUUUCGACGAGGAACAGAGGGGAGAGCAAAA